GAAGUGUAGUCACCUAAACUGAUGCCUGGAUAGAAGGGAAAACAUCCAGGGGCCAAAGGCUUCAAUGAAUGGGGGAGUGAUUACAUCAGCAGGAAUAUAGUGACUAGUGGGGGGAGAAAGUGGCAGUGAGGGAAGGAAGCCUCAGAAAUAGGUUUUUAGAAGAAGGAGCGGUGGCUCACGCAUGUAAUCCCAACACUUUGGGAGGCAGGUGGAUCACCUGAGGUCAGGAGUUCAAG
rnacentral:lncRNA from 1 species